rnacentral:rRNA from 1 species
GACGAACGCUGGCGGCGUGCUUAACACAUGCAAGUCGAGCGGAGAGGCGAACGGGUGAGUAACGCGUGAGUAACUGCCCCCCUCCCUGGGAUAACAGUUGGAAACGGCUGCUAAUACCGGAUAGUGGGGGAUGACUCGCGUGCUAUCAGCUUGUUGGUGGGGUAGUGGCCUAACAAGGAGACGACGGGUAGCCGGCCUGAGAGGGCGACCGGCCACAUUGGGCUGAGGUACGGCCCAAACGCCUACGGGAGGGAGCAGUGGGGAAUAUUGCACGAGGGGGGGAACCCUGAUGCAGCAUCGCCGCGUGCGGGAUGGCGGCCUUCAUGUUGUAAUCCGCUUUCAGCCAUGACGCGGUAGUGGCAGAAGAAGCACCGGCUAACUACGUGCCAGCAGCCGCGGUAAUAC